rnacentral:rRNA from 1 species
UACGUAGGGCGCAAGCGUUGUCCGGAAUUAUUGGGCGUAAAGAGCUCGUAGGCGGCUUGGCAAGUCUGCUGUGAAAACCCGAGGCUCAACCUCGGGCCUGCAGUGGGUACGGGCAAGCUAGAGUGCGGUAGGGGUGAGUGGAAUUCCUGGUGUAGCGGUGGAAUGCGCAGAUAUCAGGAGGAACACCGAUGGCGAAGGCAGAUCUCUGGGCCGUAACUGACGCUGAGGAGCGAAAGCAUGGGGAGCGAACAGG